UCGGCCUGCACCGGCGCGCUGUUCGCAGGCCUCUAUGGAGUGUGGAGCCUAUUCACGAUGCCCGGCUUCCGCAAAAUCCCAUCCAACCUGAAGCAAGAAAGGUGAGCAAAGAAAAAGUGGUCGGUAAACUGGAUUAUAUACAUGACAUCUUAAAGAGAUGUUUUGUUGGACGUAAUGCUAAAUCUUUUCCACUAUCAAAUCAAGAAAACACGCUGAUCUGGAGGUGAUUGUCCUUAAGUGCCCUAUCUGCCCUCCAGUAGAGAUCAAACACUGAACAUCAUGAAGCUGCUCGAGGGCCGCACAGGUCGCUUAGCAGAUCUGGGAUCGGG